GAUGAACGCUAGCGACAGGCUUAACACAUGCAAGUCGAGGGGCAGCAUAAAAGUAGCAAUACUUUGGUGGCGACCGACGCACGGGUGAGUAACGCGUAUGCAACCCACCUAUCAGAGGGGAAUAACCCGGCGAAAGUCGGACUAAUACCGCAUAAAACAGGGGCACCGCAUGGUGAUAUUUGUUAAAGAAAUUCGCUGAUAGAUGGGCAUGCGUUCCAUUAGGUAGUUGGUGAGGUAACGGCUCACCAAGCCGACGAUGGAUAGGGGAACUGAGGGGUUGGUCCACCGCACUGGUACUGAGACACGGACCAGGCUCCUACGGGAGGCAGCAGUGAGGAAUAUUGGUCAAUGGGCGGGAGCCUGAACCAGCCAAGUCGCGUGAAGGAAGAAGGAUCUAUGGUUCGUAAACUUCUUUUGCAGGGGAAUAAAGUGCAGGACGUGUCCUGUUUUGUAUGUACCCUGAGAAUAAGGAUCGGCUAACUCCGUGCCAGCCGCCGCAGUAA
rnacentral:rRNA from 1 species